CCUGGCAUCCUUCUCCUGAGGCCGCUGGGCAACAGGGCAGUGAAGGAUGCCCCGGGGAGAGUGAGUGAAUGAGAGAGAGGAUUCGCAUGUAAAUAACAGCUGAGGUUUCCUGGAGGCUUGCUGGGGCAGGCCUUCCAAACCACCUCAGGGACCAGGUAUUAUUAUUAUUAUUAUUAUUAUUAUUAUUAUUAUUAUCAUUCUCCUCUUCCAGGUUAGGAACAUCACAGCUCAAGGUAGUGGAGGCAGGAUUUGAAUAUGCAGACAGACUGCCACCCCUGCCACAGGACUCUUACACCUGCCAGUGACAUCCCACCCCCCCCCCCCCGCCCCCCACUUCCUUCAGCCCCUGCCUCUGUCCUGGACAGUCUCCUGGGGACACUCCAAGCCCUCCCUCACCCCCAGGAGACCCCCUGCACCCAGACACAGCCCCCACAGUGAUCUCUGGCCAGACAUAAGCUUCUUAUCACUGGAGGCCAUCAUGUGCUUUCUGAGCCCCGAAGGCCUGGAUUUCCAAACAAGUCUGAUCCUAACUAAGCCGGGCUGUUGUUAAAUCCUGUACCUGCAGGUGGUCUACACUGCCUCAGCAGAUGCUUCCUCUGUCCCCACAGCAGCUCUUGAGGUCAAAUAAGGGCAAAGUAAGUUUGGGAAAUACCGAGCUAAAGCUCUACGUGGUUUCUUAACUGUGGGGCUUCUCGGAGUCUUUAAAAGGCCAAAUGAUCACUGGUCACCUGUAAGAGGGUGAGAUACAGCAGAUGAAGCAGUUCCCCCAAAAGGCUGGGACCAGGGAACCAAGGCUUUAGCACUAAGUAUCCCCAGGGAACCCACUUUGAGAACUACUUCCUAGAGCAACAUAAUUGGUCCUGGCCCAACACGGAGGCUUGUAUCAAUCAUCUGCCUACAUCAUAGCAGAAGGAAGCUUUGCAAGGAUGGCAUAACCCUCCUGGGAUUUCACAUUCUCCUAUCUCCAGCAAGUUCAACUCAGUCCCCCACCCCCACCCACCUUCUCCCUUGGAGUUGAUCGACAUGAACUUGUUUACAACUUGUGGGCAGUUUUUACAUUCUGGAAAACCACCCAGAUCAGCCAGUAGCAGAAAAGAUAAAGUCGGGCUGCUGGACAGUAAGAAGCAGGAUCAUCCUGUGGGAAAUCCUAAGUUGGUAUUAAUGGAACUGGGGGCAGGGGUGGGGGUGGGGGAGAAGCUGUGACAAUACCGGGCAGUGUCGUCUGCGGCCUGAAUAAUAACACAGCGCCUGACGUUGUGUGGUUACGGGACACCCUCACAUCCGUGUCUCGCCAAGCGGGAGAGGACAGAGGGACAGAGAGAGAGAGAGAGAGAGAGAGAGAGAGAGAGAGAAUCUUAGGCAGACUCCACGCCCAGUGUGGAGCCCAACUCAGGGCUCAGUCUCGCUGUGAGAUCACGAACCGUGAGGUCAUGACCUGAGCCAAAAUCGAGAGUCGGGCACUUAACUGACAGAACCGCCCAGGCGCCCCCAUCCAUUUCUUUAUUUGAUCCUCACGAUAGCUGUGUGUGGUGAUUAAGAGAAGCCCUAUCACCAUGUGCUGGUUCUAGAAACUGAGGCCCAGAGAGGGUAAGUGAUCUCUGUAAGUCACACAGCUAUUUGUGGAUAUAGCCAGAAACACUUUGAAGCUGGGUGGAGGGCUCAUUCAUUGACCCCAUUUCAAGGUGAGUGUGUGUGUGUGUGUGUGUCAUCCCCUUCAAGGGAGCCUAAGCCAAUGUGCUCUUGUUGAGGACGGGGACUGUGGGAAACGUUCACUGGGGCAUGAGGGUGCCUCCCUGCACCCACUGGCCUGCGCAAGGUCAGGGGGGUCCCUCUGGAAGCCAUAGGUCAGGCAAGCUUGAAGCCUCCUCCCGGAGCUGCCCAGCGCCGCGAGUUCCUGAAACCCAGAACCGCAGACGACGUCCAUUGUAACCAAAUCCUCUGACACGCCAGGGCCCUGGGACGCUUUCGGACGGGAUUAGAGAGACCCAGCUUUGGCUCCGGCCCUAGCCUGGCACCAGCCCCUCCGUCCCUCCCUGAACUGCAACUUCCUCCACCGUAAAGCUGAUAAGUGACCUCGGCCUGACUCCUUGGCACAUCUGUGUGAGGAGCACACGAGAGACUGGGGGCUCCCCUGCGGUGCCCUCACGGCUGCUGUCGCUCACGGGGCUCUGGGCCACGCGUGCCUGAGCCUCUGACAGCUGCCCUCCUCGUUGCCAAGCUGGCUUCACUUUAUUCAAGUCUCAGCUGGACAUCAAGACUCUCUGUGACCCACCGGCCUGCCAUCAACCACUGCAUCACAACACCCUGCUCACGCGGUUUGCUGGGAGCAGGCACGGUCUGGCAGGUGUGGCACCACUCACCAGGACAACUGUCUUCAAUGGUUGUGCAAACUCCACUUCGUCUCCAGGGCAUUUUCCGUCCUUGAUCUCACCCUACCGUUUGGAGCAGCCCUGUGAGAGCUUCCAGAAAAGUAAGAAAAAUGAGGCUCAGACUUGGCAAGCCUCUCACCAAUGCCUGCUUUCUACAUCACAGUGCCUGGCAUACGGUGAUCAUAGAGAGUAGCGUUGGCUGUUACUAUGGUUACCUGACCUUUGUCCAAAGGUGGAUCAUGUAAGUAUGAAUGUCUGCAGAGGUACAAAAUGACACAGAGCUGAACCAGGACUGGGGACAAGGAAAAGUAACUGUCAUGUGCAAGAGGGAGCUCUUGAGAAAUGCCUCUUAUUAAAUUACCUGAUGGCUCCAUCAUGUAGAGGCCUGAAUUGGGUGAAAGCUUACCUGCAACAAUGCCUCCUGAAAUAAAACACCCUUGUGUUCAUCUGUCCCAGGUAGCACCUGUGAUUGCUCAUCCACCAUGGGGUGCCUGGGUAACUGACUCAGAAAAAAAUUGAAACACCAUCACCCAUUAUCCCCCACAAAGGUAGAUUGACUUACAAAGGUAAAACCUGAAUGUGAUUAUAACUCAUUUGAUUGAUUUCAGUGGUUAAAUCUUGGGUCCCAGGAAUCUCUGCUCUGGGGAAUUUUUUAAUCCUUGUCUAUUACCAUCCUUACAGUCUUCGGAUUAACCUCUCAAAUGCAUUGUAUUCUCUCAAGGGUUUUACAUGCCUUCUGGCAGCCACUCAUACAUCGACGACUGUAUCUUCCCAUCAGGAUUAGACAACCGGGGGAUCCCAAUGAUCUGACCUUCCCGUGUCCAUGAUGACCAGCUGGCUGUUGAUAACAGUGGUUACGUGACCGUGAGCUUGAUGAUUCACCUGGCAGAAACAGCAAACAGGAGAUUCUUCCACUUGCCAUCAACAAGGGGCCAAAGUUUCCUUUGUACCCCUCUGAAUAGCCUGUUUUCCUACUGUGGCCUGUGCCCCGGUACAGCAGGUCAACCAGGUACCAGACAGAAGGGAAACAGAGGACCAGGGGCCAUUGUCAUAGAGCCGUAUGAGGAUGGGUUGAGGAUAGCCCGGUCUCUCAGGC